rnacentral:rRNA from 1 species
AUGCAGAUGAACUUCGCGCCCUCUGCAAGACAUGUAUUGCCAUGGGAUUCCUCUCAUACCUCCACGACGAAUUGUUCUCAGGGUGGCCUAUCAGCUGCUGGAAAAAGGUUGGCCAAACUUAUAGCCAGGGUAUGGUUGAACUUCUUCCUUCCUUCGGUUUGUUAUUUGCUUACAACCAUGUGA